rnacentral:rRNA from 1 species
CAGCAGCCGCGGUAAAACAGAGGGUGCGAGCGUUAAUCGGAUUUACUGGGCGUAAAGCGUGCGUAGGCGGCUUUUUAAGUCGGAUGUGAAAUCCCCGAGCUUAACUUGGGAAUUGCAUUCGAUACUGGGAAGCUAGAGUAUGGGAGAGGAUGGUAGAAUUCCAGGUGUAGCGGUGAAAUGCGUAGAGAUCUGGAGGAAUACCGAUGGCGAAGGCAGCCAUCUGGCCUAAUACUGACGCUGAGGUACGAAAGCAUGGGGAGCAAACAGGAUUAGAUACCCCUGUAGUCCCUGUCUCUUAUAC